GACGAACGCUGGCGGCGUGCCUAAUACAUGCAAGUCGAGCGGACAGAAGGGAGCUUGCUCCCGGAAGUUAGCGGCGGACGGGUGAGUAACACGUGGGCAACCUACCCUGUAGAUCGGGAUAACAUCGAGAAAUCGGUGCUAAUACCGGAUAAUCAUUUGAAGUGCAUGCUUCGAAUGUAAAAGAUGGCUCCGGCUAUCACUACGGGAUGGGCCCGCGGCGCAUUAGCUGGUUGGUAAGGUAAUGGAUUACCAAGGCAACGAUGCGUAGCCGACCUGAGAGGGUGAUCGGCCACACUGGGACUGAGACACGGCCCAGACUCCUACGGGAGGCAGCAGUAGGGAAUCUUCCGCAAUGGACGAAAGUCUGACGGAGCAACGCCGCGUGAGUGAUGAAGGUUUUCGGAUCGUAAAGCUCUGUUGUUAGGGAAGAACAAGUGCCGUUUGAAUAAGGCGGCACCUUGACGGUACCUAACCAGAAAGCCACGGCUAACUACGUGCCAGCCGCCGCGGUAACAC
rnacentral:rRNA from 1 species